AAUUCAUUUUGCGGUUGGCUAAAUGAUCUAUCAGCAGAAGAAAAACGAAAACCCGAUGGCGUGAAAUGACGGGCAGUCGGCCAAAGUCGUGGCGACGCCGACCAGUCGCUUCGCGGUCAUGUCCUUUCUGUCGUGUCGUCGUGAAAGAAAAGAACCAAAAUGGCCUAAUACUUUUGAUUUGAUUUCUUCCAACCAAACCAAACAUUUGGCAAUCAAGAAAACAAACAAACAAAGCAGCUGACUGACUGACUGACUGACGUGCCGUGAUUACGCAAGGCCCGCGCGGACUCUCUCCCUCUAAUGAACCAAGGUGAUUUCUUCAUUCCUCACGAAAUGGACUCUGCUUUAUUAGAAUGUUUAUCGACGUGGAAAAAAGCGCUCUGUCCACUUGGCACUAUACUCUAUUGCCUUCGCCUUCUUUUAAAAUUUCAAACAAGUUUUAUACACAUCCCUGACUUUUAGUCUGCGGUGUGAUCUUGGCCGGGCAGCGGCCGGCUGGCCCAUUCCUGCACGCCAAACAUCCGCAAUUCUUUCGCUCCAACGGCGAUGACCGUGAAAAGUCUUUUGCACGGGAGGAGGGCGUUUGUUUCGAUUAUUUUCUGGGUGCAGUGCCUUUCAUUUGUUUUUAUUUCUCUCACUUUCAAAUAACUUCCAACACGGCGCGUAUUUAUUCCAUUUUUUUCUAGUUCGCCGACAUUCCAAUGAUUGUCGUGCAUUCCAUUAAGGUGCACCCGGGAGCCCGUGUUGCUUUGAUUACAUCAUGAAUAUACAUAUAUAUAUAUAACGUGUAGCGCUGGUUGGGGUCUAACCUUGACAGUCCUUGAUAUGAAUUUUUGUUAUUAUUUGCUUGGCCUUUUUUUCCCCUUUUGCUGGGCUGUUCAUCAUAAUCACAUUCCCCUUGAAUUUGUUCGCAUGUAGAUUUUUCUUUGACGUGCUAUUCCAUUUCGCACAUCUCACCUUCAAUCUUUUAUGACUUUGCAAGGUCUUUUUCGUGGUUUUUUUCAAGUAGGUGAAAGACGAUCAAAGUGAGAGGAGGAAGCGCAAAUAUUCAAAUAUGCCGCCGGCUUUACUUGGAUUUUUCUUUUAAAUUUCGUAAUUGAUUUUGUACAUGUAUCUGGAUAAUGAUUACAGAGUGUUGGGAUGAAUUUCCUGGAAUCCGGGUUCUAUAGAUAAAGACCUCCCGGACGUGUCUAAUUGCGAAAUUUGAAUGUUUAAUUUGUCUUUCGACUCGUCCGACCAGAGUGAAAGGUGAUUUGACGGUUAGGUUUUAAAUAAAACAAUCAAUCCCUCUCUAUUUAUAGAUUCAAUAGCCUUCCGUACCGCUGUCUUCACGAACGUAUCGAAAAAUUAAAAACAAAAAGGACAUUCCGUCUGCCGUGAUGUAAUAACAACAUUUUGCUCCUUUUUACUUUCAUUUUUUGUGUGUGUCUGUCCUGUCCCCUUCAAAAUGUCUUAGUCAUCAUUUUAAAAGGCGAUUGCAUCGCGCAUUAUUGCCAUCUUUUGUCUGUUGACAGCUCUUGUGUAACUAUAAAAAGAAGGGGGGGAGGGGGACUUGUCUUUGUCGCAAUGUCCUCCAUCCCAGAUGUUUCGGCAUAUUGCCGACCGUUUUUCCACACUAAGAAGAAGAAUGGGUGACCGUUGUGGACGCGGGGAGUUCCGCAGCUCAGUCGCUUGCUGAUACAUAUCAAACACGCUGGAAAGCUAUUGGUUCACCACGGCGUGAGUGUAUCAGUCACGUAUGCAAAGUGCCUAGCGAUUGUUUCCCUUUCAUUGAACUACUGGUCCACCCCUCGGCUCUAAACGAAAUCGGUUCAAACAAACGCGCGGAGAGAGAUAAACUGUUUUGAAAUUUUGGCAUAACCAAAAUAAAAACAAAACUGGGGCCGCUAUAAAGUGAAUGCCGCUAUAAAGUGAAUGCAUUAAUCAUGUGAUGCGGGUUCCGAUGGUAAUCAUUUCAACUUUAAUUUAUAAAAAAAAAAAAAAGAAAAGAGAACCUCUUUUAUUUUUCUUUUGUGUGUGUGUGUGUGUGUAUGUACUAAAAAAGAUAACAUAGUAUAUAACUGGAUGCUGACCCCCCGCGUUCCGGCUUGUAGAUAAUAGAAAGGCCAGCAACAAGUUAUAUGCUGGCCAAUGCUGGAUAUUAUACUAUGUCUUAUAUUCUUGCGAUAUUAUAGCUACCGGUUUUCCAGAAAUCCCGAAAAGUAUCUCCAGCUCUCUUAUUUUAGUCAUUCUUCAUCUCUCUUUUUUUUUCUUUUUUCUUUUUCUUUUUCUACAUAACACAACGGGAUCUUGAAUUCAUUUUUUUUUUUUGUUUGUUUUCCCGAUGAAAUGGAAACAGGAACCGAGCAAAAUCAGGGCGCGGUCGUUGCUGAGUCACUUUUGUUUUCGUCUUUCUCCGAGAAAUUCAGUUUCAGGUAGCCCAGAGUGAGAGAGAAACCGCUACACAGGUAUAUUCCGACUGUCAGGUAUCUCCGUGAUGACAUGUUGUAGAUUUGUCCUUUCACUUGAGAGUUUGAAUGAAAAUCGCUAUUUCGGUUUUUCAAUGAAAUCUAAAGUGAAAGACGAACGGUGGAAAAUAUCGGAGGUGUCGACGAUUGGCCGAAGGAGAGAGGAUAAAAAGGUUGUUUGUAAAAACGAGCUUUUCCCCCUCUCUUAUUGAAACGCAUAACAAAAAACGUCUAUACGGUUGCCUGUACACACGUAGUUUACAUAUGGUCAUCUGAUACAACUCCUCUCACUUUUCCAUCUUUAUGGUCGGCGGCCGUCAGUCCUUUACCUGCAGGGUUUUUCUGUCAUUCUUUUUUUUUUCUUUUCCGACCCAAACAAAUUUGAAGUUAUUUACUCGCAAUUCAAUAUUCCCUGCCUUGAAAAUGAUGAUUGAUCGCAUUACGGGAGCAGCCGUCGGCGAUCUAAGCGCAUUGUUGUUGUGACUUGUCCACGUACAAUCAGCCAAGGUCGGAGGAAUGUGUACGGUAGUAGUUGUUCCAAAGCGCCGAGCAUCAGUUCAAGUUUUUAUUUUGUUUGAUUCUCUCUAGCUAUGACUUUUGAUCGACUCGAUCAGCGAUUCUGUUGGCGUCGCAGACUGCAUGUCGGACAAGGUGGCCCGCUUCACAUCUACCUAGAAAUUCCGCUGAAUUUCGCGCUACAUGACUCCAGCCCUCAGCACAAGAUCAAAUGCUGGAAUUUUUCAAGGCUCUUUUGGCCAUUUUUCCGCGCCAAACGAGUUAUAUGAGAUACAACACACACGCUGCUGCGUUAUGUAGUAGAAUGCAUUUGGCUCAUCUGGGACACACGUGAAAAUAAAACCAAAAACAAAAAAAAACAAAAGAGGGGGGAUACGUAUGUAAAAUAAAAAUAAGGCAUUGAAAUAAGGCGGUGCUGGUCGAUAGGGGGCCGAGGAGAACGAGAUUUCGUGCGAGCCUUGAAGUACCGUUCACCGGACUCUCUAUUAUCAUAUUACGUGUGCGUGAUUAUUAAGGAUAUAUCGAACGGUUGGACCGCAAAAUUGUUCCUUCGUCCUAUCCCAUCCAACAACCUUUGAAACGACCAGUAGAACAACUUGACUAGACCGCCAAUGUCGUCCGUUUUUUUCAAUGCCAAAAGCCGUAUGCAAACGAACAGCUGGCGAUUGCUUUAACCUACAAAAUCACGAUUUGGCAUGUAUGGGGGACGAAACAAAUAAAAAGCCGGUAGCUAAAUUGAUGGUCAUUUGUACGGUGAAUCGUUAUUCAAGUAUGUGUUGUGUACACAAUCAAAUUGUUUACCCAAGUGGUUUUAUAGAAAGGGAAACAUUUGAAUGCGUAAAAAUAACCGGAGUGAGUCGAUUAAUAACCUCCUCUCACUCUAUUAUGGGC
rnacentral:lncRNA from 1 species